rnacentral:rRNA from 1 species
CUGCUGCCUUCCGUAGGAGUCUGGGCCGUGUCUCAGUCCCAAUGUGGCCGUUCAACCUCUCAGUCCGGCUACUGAUCGUCGACUUGGUAGGCCGUUACCCCACCAACUAUCUAAUCAGACGCGAGUCCAUCCUUAGGCGCCUCAGCUUUGGUAUAUCUACGAUGCCGUUAAUAUACUUUAUAUGGUAUUACCGUCCGUUUCCAGACGCUAUCCCUUUCCUAAGGGCAGGUUACUCACGCGUUACUCACCCGUCCGCCACU